GCAGAGAGGAAUGAGGACUUCCCUCUUACUUUAAGCCAAGAGAGAGGAUUGCAGGGUAGCUUCCAUAUAUUCUCUGGAGUUGGGGGAGUGAAAGCACUGGCUUGGAAAGUGAUAAUCAGAUAGGCCAGAGGCAGGAGAGAAAUGAAAAGAGAGUGAGGGGCAGACUGAACUACACUAGGUGUGAUUAUGCUCUUAGACAAUGGUGAGGAAGGAGGUCCAUUUCUGGGACACCAGAUGUGGCGCCAUGUGGGAGGGAAGCCAGCCUGGAGUUUUCUAAAAGAACUCUGACCACAAGGGCUCUCUGGAGGGACGAAGUAGCCAGUACAAGUGGACUACUAGGAGUACUAGCCUGCAGGGCUGGGGGAAGUUGAAACUUGGUCAUCCGGAGGUCUUAUCAGUGUUAUGCAGAAUGACCAUGUAAUUACCAUCUAAAUGGGGACACUUGUAAGAAAGAAAGGGGAUGAUAUUAGUGAGUUUGCCAGGGCAACAGGCUUAAGCUGGAACCGUCCCUCCCUGCAAACAGGGCCUAUGGCCAUCCUUGUGUUAAGGUAAAUGGGUUGGAGGUUCCUAUAACCACUUGGCAACUGCCUCCCACAAGAGGUCGGCUUUGCAUAUCUGCCAGGCCCCGCACGUACCUCUAGGUCACAGUAGCCCCAGUCAUGUAAGACAGAUGCUCUUGUCCUGUAGUCCCCACCGCCCCUGAAUCUGACCUGGAAGAGGUCAGGAGCAGCAGCUGGCGAGUGUGGGAGGGUCCAGCGGGGGAGAUAGGAAGAUGGCCACGCAACCCUUUCUGCCUACAGGCAAACGGUCAGAGUCUGAAGUACUGCCCUGAUAGAAGACGAGAGACUCUCUAAUUUAGAUGGCAAGAGACGGCAGUGUGUCUCUGGAAAAUCUUCCCUGGAAUCUGGUGUCCCUGGAAAAUUUUCCAAGUCGCCUAGCAAGACUGGAACAGCUCAGAAGAAACAGUCCACUCACUCAUACAUUCCACAAGCAUGCCUUGGGUACCUACUAGAUAAUGAGACUGCGAUAUAGAGGUAAAAUAAAUUGCCCCAAGUCACAGAUGGUGAGAGAGCUGAGACUGAAACCCUGGCUGUCUUAUCCAAGGAAACAAACAACUCGAGACAAGAGAUGUAAAGAAAGGCGAAGAAAUGCCGCUGCAAAGCACCCAGACCGCUGAUUCCGUUGGAGCGUCACCAACUCCCAAGACUGUCCUGGAGGCUGGACUCUGCUAAAAGGUAUCUGAAACUCAACAGCAGGCAGGGAGGGAGAGGCAGGGGAGGAAAGAGCGAGAGGGAGAAAAAGAGCGCUCUCCUUUUCACUUUAUCCUUUUUAAAAGCAUCUUUUUUUUUUUUUUUCCCCAGCCAAGACCCAAGAGCAACAGGAACAAACCUGAUCCACGUGGCAGGAUAAAGAGGAACCUGAAACCCUUUGCGUGUGUUUUCUCUUUCCUGACCAGCUGGGUUUGCCGCACUUUGUGAGAUUUGCAAAAAAAUAGGUAUAUAUAAUAGAUAUAUAUUUCCAUAGGAAAACAA